rnacentral:rRNA from 1 species
AUUGAACGCUGGCGGCAUGCCUAACACAUGCAAGUCGAACGGCAGCACGGGAGCUUGCUCCUGGUGGCGAGUGGCGGACGGGUGAGUAAUGCAUAGGAAUCUGCCCAGUAGCGGGGGACAACUUGGGGAAACUCAAGCUAAUACCGCAUGCGCCCUACGGGGGAAANCGGGGGACCUUCGGGCCUCGCACUAUUGGAUGAGCCUAUGUCAGAUUAGCUUGUUGUGGGGUAACGGCCUACCAAGGCGACGAUCUGUAGCUGGUCUGAGAGGACGAUCAGCCACACUGGGACUGAGACACGGCCCAGACUCCUACGGGAGGCAGCAGUGGGGAAUAUUGCACAAUGGGCGAAAGCCUGAUGCAGCAAUGCCGCGUGUGUGAAGAAGGCCUGCGGGUUGUAAAGCAACUUUCAGUAGGGAGGAAACAGUAGCCGGUUAAUAUCCGGUUGCCUUGACGUUACCUACAGAAGAAGCACCGGCUAACUCUGU